ensembl:lncRNA
CAUUGUAGAGGAUAGUUGACUUGUUGGAUAGUUGUUGGAAAGUGUACAGGUGAAUUGAUGGGAUUUUUCUGCUUUUUGAAUUGCUGCUCAGCAGAGCAGCAGGAGGAAGGUGUGGUGGUGAAGGGAGUGAGGAAAACUACCAAGGAGCUUAAGGAGACUCUAAAAAAGUACAAAUUAGAGGACUUGAGGACAGAACUCAAGGCUUUGGGCAUUCAGGUUAAUGAAGACCAGGACAAAAAGACCCGAAAGAAUGACAAGAAACUAAAGAGGGAGCUGAGAAAGGUUCUCCUAAGGGAACUGAAGAGAGUGGAGCUGCAGAGACAAGAGAAUAAAGGGGAAGAGAGCGAAGCAGAUGAGGCUCCUGAGGUCCUACAGGAGAGACAGGAGAGAGUGGAACCAGAGACAGAGGUGGGACAAGAAGAAUCUGAGGACAGACAACAAACAGUUGAUAUGGAGAGCACUGGACAGCAGCAGGACGGAGACUCCACAGAAAAUGGACCAAUGAGGGAGAAGAAGAGAAUGGAGAACGUUGCCCUGGUCAUCAAAAUACUGGAUGACAUAACUGACAUGGAUGAGGUCAAUGCAAUUCUGAAUGAGGCUGUAUCCAUUCUGAGACUAGCUAAAACUGCUAGUAUGACAGAACAAACUGAAAAGGAGAUAAAUCAGGAGGUUGUGGCUGCUCCUGACGACAUUUUGGACAAGGUUGACUCGGCUAUUAAUCUGCCUACCAAGGACCAUGAAAAUAAGGACCAAACCACUGAAGUCGUUACCAUACUGAACGAUAUUCUAGAUGGCGUGGAUGCAGCUUUGAAUCUGACAGCAGAGCAGGAAGUAGAAAGGGAUGGUGAAGUAGCCGCCGUCCUUGACAGCAUCCUGGAUAGGGUUGAAUCUGCUUCAAAACAGGAAAGCAUAAGAAAAGAGUGGAGAGUUGAAGCCGUGUCCAUGCUAAAUGGCAUUCUGGAUGACGUAGACUCAGCUCUGAAGCUGACCGAAGAAAAAGAGAAAACUAGAGUUGAAAUAAAGGCUGUUCUCAGCAACAUUCUUGAUGAUGUGGACACAAGUAUGAAGCGGAAAGGAGAAAAAGAUGAGGCUGAGACAUCUGAGGUGGAGGCUGUACUUAAUGAUCUUUUGGACAUCGUAGACUCUGCUCUUGAGCUGGAUGGUAAUAGGACAGUCCAAAUAAAGCCCAAUCAUACUCUGGAUCAGGUGGACACUGAUCUGAAUCUGAUCAGAGACCUGGAAACAGUCAAAGAGGCUGAGGCUGAUCCUAGUGCGGUUCUCCUUGAGGCUGAUCCCAGUGCUGUUCUCCUUGAGGCUGAGUGCAGUGCUGUUCUCCUUGAGGCUGAUCCCAGUGCGGUUCUCCUUGAGGCCGAGUCCAGUGCUGUUCUCCUUGAGGCUGAUCCCAGUGCUGUUCUCCUUGAGGCUGAUCCCAGUGCGGUUCUCCUUGAGGCUGAGUCCAGUGCUGUUCUCCUUGAGGCUGAGCGCAGUGCUGUUCUCCUUGAGGCUGAUCCCAGUGCGGUUCUCCUUGAGGCUGAUCCCAGUGCUGUUCUCCUUGAGGCUGAGCGCAGUGCUGUUCUCCUUGAGGUGAACUCUGCUGUCUGUCUGCCUUUGGCUCAAGCUGAGCUCCAGAGACUUGGAGUUAUUACAGAGGAGAUGAAGGACAAGGAGCCAGUGAAGGGUGAGGAGAGUGCCUCCUCAGCCCCAGUCAAACGCAAGGUCAGGAGAGGCAAGAGAGGGAAAGGAACAAAGGGAGCAAAAAAAAACAUUGCAAAUAAUGAGACUGGCCAUCUUCAACAUCUGGAUGAAAACAAAGGGCAAAUGAAGGAGCCAGAGGAGCAGGGAGGAAGAGGAGGGAACAAUGGGCAGG